rnacentral:rRNA from 1 species
UGACCUGCCCUUGUGCGGGGGAUAACCGUGGGAAACCGCGGCUAAUACCGCAUGACAUCUUCUUCUCACAUGGGAGGGAGAUCAAAGGUGCUUUAUUGCACUGCGCAGGGAGGGGCUCGCGGCGUAUCAGCUAGACGGUGGGGUAACGGCCUACCGUGGCGAUGACGCGUAGGGGGUCUGAGAGGAUGGCCCCCCACAUUGGGACUGAGAUACGGCCCAGACUCCUACGGGAGGCAGCAGUGGGGAAUCUUGCGCAAUGGGAGCAAUCCUGACGCAGCGACGCCGCGUGCGGGAGGACGCCUUUCGGGGUGUAAACCGCUGUCACCGGGGACGAACUAGGCUGGGAGGCAAUGCCCAGUCUUUGACGGUACCCGGAGAGGAAGCACCGGCUAACUCCGUGCCAGCAGCCGCGGUAAUACGGAGGGUGCAAGCGUUGUUCGGAAUUAUUGGGCGUAAAGCGCGCGUAGGCGGUCCUUUAAGUCUGUCUGUGAAAGGCCGGGGCUCAACCCCGUGCAGGGCAGGGGAUACUGGAGGACUUGAGAGAUGCAGAGGCCAGCGGAAUUCCGGGUGUAGCGGUGGAAUGCGUAGAGAUCCGGAAGAACACCGGCGGCGAAGGCGGCUGGCUGGGCAUCAUCUGACGCUGAGGUGCGAAAGCGUGGGGAGCAAAGGGAUUAGAUACCCCUGUAGUC